CCUACGGGAGGCAGCAGUGAGGAAUAUUGGUCAAUGGCCGGAAGGCUGAACCAGCCAAGCCGCGUGAAGGACGAAGGUGCCAAGCAUUGUAAACUUCUUUUGUCAAGGGACAAAAUCAGGCUCGAGAGCCUGACCGAGGGUACUUGAAGAAAAAGCAUCGGCUAACUCCGUGCCAGCAGCCGCGGUAAUACGGAGGAUGCGAGCGUUAUCCGGAUUUAUUGGGUUUAAAGGGUGCGUAGGCGGACUGUUAAGUCAGCGGUAAAAGCCCGGGGCUCAAACCCGGCGAGCCGUUGAAACUGGAUGUCUAGAGAUGGCGAGAGGCAGGCGGAAUGUGUAGUGUAGCGGUGAAAUGCUUAGAUAUUACGCAGAACACCGAUUGCGAAGGCAGCAUACCGGCGGCGAUCUGACGCUGAGGCACGAAAGCGUGGGGAUCGAACAGGAUUAGAUACCCUGGUAGUC
rnacentral:rRNA from 1 species